ACUUGCUUCCACACACAUACACUAAAAUUGGAACGAAACAGAGAAGAUAAGCAUGGCCCCUGCUCAAGGAUGACAUGCAAAUUCGUGAAGCGUCCCAUAUUUUU
ensembl:snRNA LOC120095814 U6 spliceosomal RNA